rnacentral:rRNA from 1 species
GAUAAACGCUGGCGGCGUGCAUAACACAUUCAAGUCGAACGGACUUUAUGGAAUAGCUUGCUAGGAGAUAAAGUUAGUGGCGGACGGGUGAGUAACGCGUGAGCAACCUGCCUAUCAGUGGGGAAUAACGUUUGGAAACGAACGCUAAUACCGCAUAAUGUAUACCGAUCGCAUGUUUGGUAUACCAAAGAUUUAUUGCUGAUAGAUGGGCUCGCGUCUGAUUAGGUAGUUGGUAGGGUAGCGGCCUACCAAGCCGACGAUCAGUAGCCGGACUGAGAGGUUGAACGGCCACAUUGGAACUGAGAAACGGUCCAG